rnacentral:lncRNA from 1 species
AAACAUAAUAAUAUUGUCUUGAUUCCAUAAAAGGAACAAUUAAAUUGAAUCAAAUAUUUUUAGAAAGAGGCCAACUAUUUUGAAAAUAAUUUUUAGUACUUACCAAAAAUAAUUAUCAAUUAAAUAUUCCCAGAGACUACCUCCAUAAAAACAACUUCAAUAAGCCCAAGCUCUCUCUUCCUCUAGAAUUUCAAAAAAAAAAAAAUGCCUUGCUGAAUUAAACUCUCCUAAUCUUCCCAAUAAUUUUUAGUACUUACCAAAAAUAAUUAUCAAUUAAAUAUUCCCAGAGACUACCUCCAUAAAAACAACUUCAAUAAGCCCAAGCUCUCUCUCCCUCUAGAAUUUCAAAAAAAAAAAAUGCCUUGCUGAAUUAAACUCUCCUAAUCUUCCAGAAACUUUUUUAUACGUAAUAAUGAGUGACAAUUUCGUAAUUUACCACUUCUACAUCACACACAAAAAACAAAACAAAAAAAAUAAGAUUUGAAAAAGAGUAACCAAUGGCACCAAAAUUCCAAAAAUAAAUAAAUUCCAAAAAAAAAACUACUACUUUAAGAUGAACAAAUAAGUGGCAAUUUCAUAAUUUCUCACUUUCUACAUCUCACACGCAGAAACAAAAAAUAAAUGAGAUUUGAAAAAAGUAACAAAUGGCACGAAAAUUCCAAAAAUAAAUAAAUAAAUAAUCUACUACUACUUUAAGAUGAACAAAUAAGUGGCAAUUUCGUAAUUAACGAGAAUUUUCGUACCAAAAAUGGAAUCGUUAUCCUCAGACUCGGAAGAAGAAGAAGUUUCUGAAUUGAACACAGAGGUUAUAAUCUUUGCAGCACCGGAUAUAAUCGUGCGCGUCGCCGGAAAUACAUGUCCGGUGAACCAAUUAGGGCUUUUUUGAACCGCUUCUUCCGCCGCCGCCGGCGAAGGUAGAGGACGGUCGUAGGGACCAACGGCAUAGCGCUUUCGCCUGUUUGUGACGAUUUUACCCCCAGCAGAACGAGAAUCCAUGAAGGUAUUUUUCAAACAGUGAGCGUUUAUGUGCGUGAGAAAAGAGAGAAAAAGAAGAGAGAGAAGUUAGAGGGAUUCAAAAAGAAGUUGCAUUUUCAGGUUAUUUUGUGUUUUAUGUUAGCUUAUCUGUUUCUAGUAUUUAUUCUUUUUUAUCAUUUUCCUUUUUGGGGUUUGGUUUAUUUAAUUAUGAAGCAGUUAAACAGUGAACAUUAGAUUUGAAAUCCAAGACAAUCAGUUACACAUUAAGG